rnacentral:rRNA from 1 species
GACGAACGCUGGCGGCGUGCUUAACACAUGCAAGUCGAACGGAAAGGCCAUGCUUUUGUGGGGUGCUCGAGUGGCGAACGGGUGAGUAACACGUGAGUAAAAUGCCCUUGACUUUGGGAUAACUUCAGGAAACUGGGGCUAAUACCGGAUAGGAGCUCCUGCUGCGUGGUGGGGGUUGGAAAGUUUCGGCGGUUGGGGCUGGACUCGCGGCUUAUCAGCUGGUUGGUGGGGUUGUGGAUUACCAAGGCUUUGACGGGUAGCCGGCCUGGGAGCGUGACCGGCCACCUUGGUCCUGAGAUACGCCCCAGACUCCUACGGUAGGCAGCAGUGGGGAAUAUUCCACAAUGGGCGGAAGCCUGAUGCAGCAACGCCGCGUGCGGGAUGACGGCCUUCGGGUUGUAAACCGCUUUCGCCUGAGACGAAGCGUGAGUGACGGUAAUGGGUAAAGAAGCACCGGCUAACUACGUG